rnacentral:rRNA from 1 species
UCAGGAUGAACGCUAGCGACAGGCUAACACAUGCAAGUCGAGGGGCAGCAUAAAAGUAGCAAUACUUGGUGGCGACCGGCGCACGGGUGAGUAACGCGUAUGCAACCUACCUAUCAGAGGGGAAUAAUCCGGCGAAAGUCGGACUAAUACCGCAUAAAACAGGGGCACCGCAUGGUGAUAUUUGUUAAAGAAAUUCGCUGAUAGAUGGGCAUGCGUUCCAUUAGGUAGUUGGUGAGGUAACGGCUCACCAAGCCGACGAUGGAUAGGGAACUGAGAGGUUGGUCCCCCACACUGGUACUGAGACACGGACCAGACUCCUACGGGAGGCAGCAGUGAGGAAUAUUGGUCAAUGGGCGGGAGCCUGAACCAGCCAAGUCGCGUGAAGGAAGAAGGAUCUAUGGUUCGUAAACUUCUUUUGCAGGGGAAUAAAGUGCAGGACGUGUCCUGUUUUGUAUGUACCCUGAGAAUAAGGAUCGGCUAACUCCGUGCCAGCCGCAGC